rnacentral:rRNA from 1 species
GACGAACGCUGGUGGCGUGCUUAACACAUGCAAGUCGAACGGAAAGGCCCUGCUUUUGUGGGGUGCUCGAGUGGCGAACGGGUGAGUAACACGUGAGUAACCUGCCCUUGACUUUGGGAUAACUUCAGGAAACUGGGGCUAAUACCGGAUAGGAGCUCCUGCUGCAUGGUGGGGGUUGGAAAGUUUCGGCGGUUGGGGAUGGACUCGCGGCUUAUCAGCUUGUUGGCGGGGUAGUGGCUUACCAAGGCUUUGACGGGUAGCCGGCCUGAGAGGGUGACCGGCCACAUUGGGACUGAGAUACGGCCCAGACUCCUACGGGAGGCAGCAGUGGGGAAUAUUGCACAAUGGGCGGAAGCCUGAUGCAGCAACGCCGCGUGCGGGAUGACGGCCUUCGGGUUGUAAACCGCUUUCGCCUGUGACGAAGCGUGAGUGACGGUAAUGGGUAAAGAAGCACCGGCUAACUACGUG